rnacentral:rRNA from 1 species
UACGUAGGUGGCGAGCGUUGUCCGGAUUUACUGGGCGUAAAGGGAGCGUAGGCGGACUUUUAAGUGAGAUGUGAAAUAUUCGGGCUCAACUUGAGUGCUGCAUUUCAAACUGGAAGUCUAGAGUGCAGGAGAGGAGAAUGGAAUUCCUAGUGUAGCGGUGAAAUGCGUAGAGAUUAGGAAGAACACCAGUGGCGAAGGCGAUUCUCUGGACUGUAACUGACGCUGAGGCUCGAAAGCGUGGGGAGCAAACAGG